GCCACCCGGGAGGCGGCGCGCUGUGGUGUACGGCGGGCGCUGGCGGGGCUGCGGGGGCCGCGAGCCGGGGAGAGGGCGCCUCAUAGCCGCCCCGGAGCGUCCGGACCUGGCGUGCGACAGUCCCCGCCGGGGAAAGCGAAGGAUGGCGGGGCCGGGACGUUUUCCCCGAGCUCUUAAGGGGGCAGGGAGGGUGACAAUUGGCCUUGAGGCGGGCGCGGAGGACGCGGAGGACGCGAGCGGUGGAGUGAGCCCCCUAAACGCCGAGAGAUGAAAAGGAACAACAGUAGAUGUCACAAACAUCAAUUCAACCAAAUGGCAUUCAAAGAGUCUCCUGUGCUGAGACUAUGAAUCACUUCAGCAGAAGCCCAGUCAUCAUUGCCCUAAAACAUCUACAAGAUAGACAGAUCCAGUCUGACAUACCAAGUACCAAGCUGCCUCCAAUUAGGAGAUUCAAGGCCAGGGCUCCUUUUCUCAUGAGCACUACCACUCUUCGCAUGUUCCGCUCCAAAAUAUCCUCCAUGGAGACAAGGAAAAAGCUCUACUAUCUCUCAGUACCUCAGCUGAAGAUGGACAACUCUGCCGAUUCACUAUAAUCGAUCUAUAUUCUCUAUGGAGAAUCUGUGCCUUUGUUCUCUCAUACAUUAGUCGUUGAUACUUCCUGAUGUGAAAUUUUGGACUAAAAAAUGUUGUGUACUUGAGGUCUCUAAGCUGAAAGAAGAAUAGUGGAUGGUAUCGGGGGGGGAUAUAGAAAGAGAAUCUCAUAUCUGUCCUCACAUUGUUGUGAGCUAGAUCCUGUGGUCACCUCCCUGAGAGCAAUCACCCUUCCCCCCGUCUAACAGCCUGAAUUAACACCAUACCCAAUUCCAGGCAUGGCUCCUGACUAGUCGAAACCAGUGCUUCUCAAACUUCUCUUGUGUAUAAGAACCAUCUGGAGAGUUACAACACAGAUCCCUGGGCCCCAUCCCCAAAGAUUUGGAUUUAGCAGGUCUGGGUUGGAGCGUACUAGCACUUCUGAAUGGGGAACUAUGCAUGGGCACAGGUUGUAUGAGGCAAGGUUAAAACAAACAUUGGCUAGUGGGAGGUCUUGCUGAGAAAAUGACUUUUUCAUUCUUAUUUUAAAAUAAUCUCAAAUACAGAACCAUUACAAAGAGAGUACACAACUUUGACCCAUAUUUAGCAUUUUUAUAACCUGCCAUGUCUGUUUAUAUUGUCUUUCUCUACAUACACACACAUACACAUACACACACAAUUUAUUUUCCAGAAUUACUUAAGUAUAGGUUGAAUACAUCAUGCCCAUUUACCUCCUAAUACUUCAUGCAUUUUUAAGAAUAAAGAGAUUCUCUUAUAUAGUAGUCUCUGCUUAUCCUCAGCAGAUACAUUCCAAGACCUCCAGUGGAUGACUAAAACCAUGGAUAGUACCAAACCCUAUAUAUGCUAUGUUUUUCCUACACAUACAUGCAUACCUAUGAUAAAGUUUAAUUGAUAAGUUAGUCAAAGUAAAAGAUUAACAACAAAACUAAUAAAAAGAACAAUUAUAACAAUAUACUGUAAUAAAUGUAUGUGAAUGUGGUGUCUUUCUCCCAAAAUGUCUUAGCGCCCUGUACUUACACUCUUUUUCUUCUCGUGAUGAUGGGAGAUGACAAAAUGCCUAUGUGAUCAGAUAAGUGAGGUGAAUGACAGACAUUGUGAUGUAGUGUUAGGCUACUGACCUUUGGAUGAUUCAUCAGGAGGAUCACCUGCUUCUAAACUACAGUUGACUGAGGGUAACUAAAACCGUCGUGGAAAAAUGAAACCAGAGGGACUACAGUAUAUCCACAGUACAAUGAUCAAGUUCAGAAAAUGUAACAUUGAUCUAAAACUUGAAUCUAAUCUAUUGCCCAUAUUCCAAUGUAUCCACUGUCCAAAUAGUGUUCUUUAAAGCAGUUUGUUCUGGGGCGCCUGGGUGGCUCAGUCCAUUAAGCGUCUGCCUUCGGCUUGGGUCAUGAUCCCGGGGUCCUGGGAUCAAGUCCCGAGUCUGGCUCCCUGCUCAGCGGAGAGUCUGCUUCUCCCUCUGCCGCUCCCCCACCCACCCACCCACUCCCGCCCUGCUCGUACUUUCUCUCACUCUUCUCUCACUCACUCUCUCUCUCUCAAAUAAAUAAAAUAAAAUAAAAAUCUAAAGCAGUUUGCUCCUCUGGCACAGAAUCCCAUUCAGGAUCACAUGUAACAUUUAGUUGUCAAAUCUCUUUAGUCUCUUGAUCUAUACCAAUUCCUCAGCCAUCCUUUGUCUUUAAUGACAUUGACAUUUUUUAAGAACACAGGCCAUUUGUUUAUAGAGUGUUCCUCAAUUUGGAUUUGUCUUGUAUUUCUUCAGAAUUUGAUGAAGUGGAGCAUUUCCAGCCAGAACACUAUAUAAGUGAUGAUGUGUUCUUCCCCAGGUACCAUCUGCCCUCUUGUUGAUGAUAUCAAUUUUGAUCACUGUCAAAGUGUUGUCUGUUAGACAAGAGUUUAGGAAUAAUCUCAAACUUGCUCUCUUUUUAAGGCGUGGUUCACAAGAAACAAUCCUUUAGACUGAGAAAGCUCUGGAAAUGCAGGCCAGUCUCAAAGGAGCAGCAAGUCCGAGUUUCCUGCCAAGAAUGCUGUCCAGCCCAUCUCCUGACCCUUAACCUCUCUAUUUCCAAAAGUGGAGUC